UUCCCUUACAACUUUCUUUCCAAACUUUCAUUUUCGGGUAUUGCAUCCCAACCUCAGGUACCCAAAGAGGGAUGUCGAAUAAUGAAGUGAGGAUUGACGUCGUACCUGAGAUUGAGUUACAUGCCAAGAACGAUGAGCUUGUGACAUCUCCUCCGCAAGAGCAGGCUGCAACUGCAGGAAAUGGUUCUACUCAAGCAAAAGAUAACAAUGGGAAGUCAUCUCCUCCUCAAGAACUGGCUAGUAAGUUUUGAUAUCACCUUGAUAUUAUUUUAUUUUAUACUUUUACAGAUGCAUUGUUUUGAGCAGC